GACGUAGGGCGCGAGCGUUGUCCGGAUUUAUUGGGCGUAAAGAGCUCGUAGGCGGCUUGUCGCGUCGAAUGUGAAAUCUCAGGGCUCAACCCUGACAUUGCAUUCGAUACGGGCAGGCUAGAGUUCGGCAGGGGAGACUGGAAUUCCUGGUGUAGCGGUGAAAUGCGCAGAUAUCAGGAGGAACACCGGUGGCGAAGGCGGGUCUCUGGGCCGAUACUGACACUGAGGAGCGAAAGCGUGGGGAGCGAACAGG
rnacentral:rRNA from 1 species